rnacentral:rRNA from 1 species
AACGAACGCUGGCGGCAUGCCUAACACAUGCAAGUCGAACGAACCCUUCGGGGUUAGUGGCGCACGGGUGUGUAACGCGUGGGAAUCUGCCCUUUGCUUCGGAAUAACAGUUAGAAAUGACUGCUAAUACCGGAUGAUGUCUUCGGACCAAAGAUUUAUCGGCAAGGGAUGAGCCCGCGUAGGAUUAGGUAGUUGGUGGGGUAAAGGCCUACCAAGCCGACGAUCCUUAGCUGGUCUGAGAGGAUGAUCAGCCACACUGGGACUGAGGCACGGCCCAGACUCCUACGGGAGGCAGCAGUGGGGAAUAUUGGACAAUGGGGGAAACCCUGAUCCAGCAAUGCCGCGUGAGUGAUGAAGGCCUUAGGGUUGUAAAGCUCUUUUACCAGGGAUGAUAAUGACAGUACCUGGAGAAUAAGCUCCGGCUAACUCCGUGCCAGCAGCCGCCGUAAUAC